rnacentral:rRNA from 1 species
CUGGCGGCGUGCUUAACACAUGCAAGUCGAACGCGAAAGGGACUUCGGUCCUGAGUAAAGUGGCGCACGGGUGAGUAACGCGUAGAUAACCUGUCUUCAUGUCUGGAAUAAUACGCCGAAAGGGGUACUAAUACCGGAUAUUCUUGCUUUUCAUAAGUUAUGCAAGCAAAGGUGGCCUCUGCAUAUGCUACUGCAUGAAGAGGGGUCUGCGUACCAUUAGCUAGUAGGUGGGGUAAUGGCCUACCUAGGCGACGAUGGUUAGCGGGUCUGAGAGGAUGAUCCGCCACACUGGCACUGGAACACGGGCCAGACUCCUACGGGAGGCAGCAGUGAGGAAUAUUGCGCAAUGGGGGAAACCCUGACGCAGCGACGCCGCGUGAGUGAGGAAAGGCCUUCGGGUCGUAAAGCUCUGUCAAGAGGAAAGAAGUGUACAAUGGCUAAUACCUGUUGUAUUUGACGGUACCUCUAAAGGAAGCACCGGCUAACUCCGUGCCAGCAGCAGC